GGGGGAUUAACAUACAAAAAAGAGUAUGCAUAUCAAAAAGAAAGUUUUCAAAUUGAUUUUCAAGUAUUAAGAUUUCAGCAUUUAGUAGGAUAAAAAUGAGAAAAUCUAAUCAACCUUUUGAUAUAAAAAGAAGAAAAGGAACUAUCAUAUUCAAGCAAGUCAUACAAAUAAGCAAAUUAUUCUAAUGUUUGUCAAAAAGAGGAUUUAAUAAUUAAAUUUAAGAGGGGUCAGUUCGAACAAGUGAGUGUUUGUGUGUGGAACUUCUUACAUGGUUUUAAAUAAUGGCCAUUACAUUAUGUUACGUAAUGGCUGUUAUUUAAAGGAAAAUAAGCUCAACGUUACCAUUACAACCAUUAUAUAACGAAUUUUAAUAACGGCCCUCACCAGCCAUUAUGUAAAGGCCCUUUUUUUUCUUUGGCGGAGAACCCUUGGCUUUUUUUUAUUAAUACUAAUGAUGUCAAAGCAUGGUGGAUUUAAUGUCUUUACUUGAUACAUUUAUACUUAUUAUUUAGUUGUAUAUCUUAGUUUUAAUUAUAUCUUUGAAUAUUUAUUCAUUUCAUGAACUUUGCAAAUUUUUCAAAAAAAUUUGCAUAGCGAUAAGCCAUUACUGUCACAGGCCCGUUUCCGUUACUGUUAUAAGAUUUCUUGUUGCUGAGUAGGAAAGGUUACCUAGCUUUGGCAUUGGAGCCUAGAUAGCUGGAAUGAGUGGGCUUCUUGCUAUUGCAAUCAAAGAGAAGAGUCCUUGUUACAAGCUACUAUAAUCGAGCUGACCAUGAUGGCUGUAAGGGUAUGAGCAAAAAUGAAAGCAAUCAAUUAUUGUCACAAUUCUUCGGAUGUCUGUUUUGUUGCAAAAUUUUCCUUUUUAUGAUCAUUUUUUGUGGGUCAUAGUUGUCUGGAAGAAAACUAUGUUGUUACUGAUAAAUGACAUGUGAUUUAUGUUUUUGUAGGUUCUUCUCGCUCUAGUUGGUCUUGCUACUUCUUUCCAGAAACAUCCCAAGAAUGCCGACAUCGUGCUUUUGAGCUUAUGAACGAUAAAAAGGCAUGGGAAAAUGGAAUCAUAACUACAAAAGAUAACUAUAAUCCCAAGGAAAUAUGGGCUGGACGAAUUCCCAGGGUAUGGGGUGAUCCAUGGAGUUAUUUGCAGCCAACGACAGAAGUAAAUGGGAGUUUGCUCACUUCUCAUCGUAAGAUGGAUCUUAGGUGGUGGAGAGCACAGGUGAAAGUUAAAUUGAUCUAGCAAGGAGAGAGAUCUAAUUCAGGCUUUCAUUCUCAAAUGAACCAGUGCUUUUCUGUUCCUAAGUAGUGGGUAACUACUUAAUGAGAUUUCAAACUGA
rnacentral:misc_RNA from 1 species